AUCAAAUAUUUGUUCAUUAUAUGAUUUUAAUUGCUCAAAUGCAUUUGUAAUUAUUUAACAGUCAGACAGCUUUUAUUUUUAACUUAAACCUUUCCCUUAAAUUGGGCUUAAUUAGCAUGCAACAAGCAUUGAAGGAGUGUAGAAAGACAGCCCAAAGCCUUUAAUGGAAAAAUUCAGACGUGGCGAAAGACCAUCACAUUUUACAGGCCAGACCGGCCUACCAGGAGAAACAAUUCACAGGCCUGUUGAAGUUUUUACAGGCCUCAAUUUUAAGUGUUUGACCGGUUAGUGCAUAGUCUCAGCAUGGAAAAGUAAAUUCAUAAAAGGGCAAACUGAACAUUAUUAUGAAGCAUUAUUUUUAACCAGGUUUUCCGAAGGAAAAAACUGGUUAUUAGAUUGGCGAAUGCGGGCGGGCUGGCUGGCUGGCGGGCUGGCUGGCGGGCUGGCGGAACAAGCUUGUCCGGGCCAUAACUAUGUCGUUCAUUGUCAGAUUUUAAAAUCAUUUGGCACAUUUGUUCACCAUCAUUGGACGGUGUGUCGCGCGAAAUAAUUACGUCUAUAUCUCCAAGGUCAAGGUCACACUUUGAGUUCAAAGGUAAAAAAUAGCCAUAAAUGAGCUUGUCUGGGCUAUAACUAUGUCAUUCAUUAUGAUAUUUUAAAAUCAUUUGGCACAUUUGUUCACCAUCAUGGGACGGUGUGUCACACAAAAGAAUCACGUCAAUAUCUCCAAUGUCAAGGUCGCCACGACUAAAAAUAGAUUUAUUUUAAAACAAACUUACAAAGGGUGUUAAUUUUGUUUGUUCAUUUAAAAAGUUCAGUUUGAGUUGUCUCCCUUUAUCAGAUUUUUUUUCACAAUGAAAACCUGGUUUUGUGACAAUUUUGUCCCUUGUUCUUGAAUGCUCUGAGCUUUUAUGAGUACAUACGUACAGCUCAGAGGGUAAAUAGCUGGGAGUUGUAUUAUUGCAACUAACAUAAGCAUGAAAACUUGAUUUGGGGAAAUAAAUUAAGGGUGUUAGUUUCAGUUUGUGGAUAUACUAACGCUUUAAACAUAUAUACUUGAGUGUUGUCGAUGUAUUUAGCUAAGAGACAUUAAUAAAUUAAAUAAGUUUACCUUUACAUAUCCAUUUCACUAACAUGCCAUUACAGUAAACUGUUCAGUGUGGCAAACAUAAUAAAGCAGAAUAUGCACAUGAAUCUGAUUAAACACAGAUCCACUUGCAUAUAAAUCAAA